rnacentral:rRNA from 1 species
AGGCCCCAGGUCAAGCGGGGCUACCCGCUGAGUUUAAGCAUAUCAAUAAGCAGAGGAAAAGAAACUUGCAAGGAUUCCCCUAGUAACAGCAAAGGAACCGGGAAGGGCCCAGCUUUAAAAUCGGGCGGCGUCGCCAUUCAAAUUGUAGUUUGGAGAAGCGUCAUCUACGAUGGACCGGGCCCAAGUCUCCUGGAAAGGGGAUCUAGAGAGGGUGAGAGCCGUACCGUGCCCGGACCCUAUUGCACCACGAGGCGUUGUCACUGAGUUGGGUUGUUUGGAAAUGCAGCCCUAAGUGAGCAGUAAUUUUUGUCCAAGGCUAAAUACGGGCGAGAGACUGAUAGCGGAAAAGUAUCGCGAAGGAAAGAUGAAAAAGACUUUGAAAAGGGAGUCAAAGAGUGCUUGAAAUUAUCGAGAGGGAAGCGGAUGGGGGUCGGCGAUACACCUCGGUCGGAUGUGUAAUGGCCACAAGCCGGUCCACCGAUCGGCUCAGGGCAUGGACCGACGUGGAUUGGGAGGGCGGCUGAACCCCUGUCUGCAGGAGCGUCAUCCUCGUGAUUGUGGAAGGCAGCGCGCUCCGUUACGACGUGCCCCAGCACCUGCCUGCUCCACGCGUCGGCCUGCGGGCCCCCCAUUUGAGCCUUCUUAAAACACGGGCCAAGGAGUCUGACUUGUGCGCGAGUCAACAGGCGAGUAAACCCAUACGGCGCAUGGAAGCUAAUUGGUGGGAUCCCUCGUGGGUGCACUGCCGACUGACUUGAUCUUCUUAGAAGGGUUCAAGUGAGAGCAUAUCUGUCGGGACCCGAAAGAUGGUGAACUAUGCUUGAGUAGGGCGAAGUCAGAGGAAACUCUGGUGGAGGCCCGAAGCGAUACUGACGUGCAAAUUGUUCGUUUGACUUGGGUAUAGGGGCGAAACACUAAUCGAACCGUCUAGCAGCUAGUUCUCUCUGAAAAUUCCCUCAGGAUAGCUGGAGAUCAUACGCGAAUUCUAUCAGGUAAAGCCAAUGAUUAGAGGCAUCGGGGGCAUAAUGCCCUCGACCUAUUCUCAAACUUUAAAUAGGUAGGACGACGCGACUGUUUUGUUCAGCAGCGCCACAAAAUCGAGAGCUCCAAGUGGGCCAAUUUUGGUAAGCAGAAUUGCUGAUGCGAGAUGAACCGGAAGUCGCAUUAGGGUGCCCAACUGCUCGCUAUAGAUCCCACAAAGGGUGUUGGUCGAUUAAGACAGCAGGACGGUGGUCAUGGAAGUCGAAAUCCGCUACGGAGUGCGUAACAACUCGCCUACCGAAUGAACUAGCCCUGAAAAUGGAUGGCACUGAAGCGCGCUACCUAUACUCAGUCGUCGGCGCAAGUGCCAGGCCCCGAUGAGUAGGAGGGGGUGGCAGUCGCUGCAAAACCUAUGGCGCCAGCCAAGGCGGAGCGUCCGUCGGUGCAGAUCUUGGUGAUAGUACCAAAUAUUCAAAUGAGAACUUUGAAGGCUGAAGAGGGGAAAGGUUCCAUGUGAACGGGACUUGCACAUGGGUUAGUCAAUCCUAAGAGAUGGGGGAAGCUCGUCUGACAGCGCGUUUUACGCGAGCUUCAACAGGGAAUCGGGUUAAAAAUCCCAAAUCAGGAUGCGGCAAUUGACGGCAACGUUAGGGAGUCCGAAGAUUUCGGUGGGGGCCUCGAGAAGAGUUAUCUUUUCUGUUUAAUAGCCUUCCCACCCUGGAAAUGACUCAAUCGGAGGCAGGUUUAAUGGUUGGAAGAGCACCGUACGUUAUGUGGUGUCUGAUGCACCCCUGGUGGCCCUUGAAAAUUUGGAGGACCGAGUGCCGACCAUACCCGGUCGUACUCAUAACCGCAUCAGGUCUCUAAGGUGAACAACCUCUGAUCGAUGGAACAAUGCAGGCAAGGGAUGCCGGAAAAAUGAAUCCGUAACUUUGGAAAAAGGAUUGGCUCUGAGGGCUGGGCACGGGGAUCCUAGUCCCGAACUCGUCGGUUGUCGGUGGACUACUCGAGCUGCUCACACAACGAGAGCAGGUCGCCGCGUGCCAGCUAGGGGACGGACUGGAAACGGCCCCAUUGGGGGCCUUCCCCAUAUGUCGAAUAGUCAACUAAGAACUGGUACGAACAAGGGAAAUCCGACUGUUUAAUUAAAACAAACCAUUGCGAUGGUCCCUGCUGAUGUUAACGCAACGUGAUUUCUGCCCAGUGCUCUGAAUGUCAAAGUAAAGAAAUUCAACCAAGCAUGGGUAAACAACGGGAGUAACCAGGACUCUUCUAAGGUAACCACAUGCCUCGUCAUCUAAUUAGUGACACGCAUGAAUAGAUUAAUGAGAUUCCCACUGCCCCUGUUUACUAUCCAGCGAAACCACAGCCAAGGGAACGGGCUUGGCAGAAUCAGCGGGUAAAGAAGNNNNNNNNGAGCUUGACUCUAGUCCAACUUUGUGAAUUGAUGUGAGAGGUGUAGCAUAAAUGGGAGCCUCGGCGCAAGUGAAAUACCACUACUUUUAACGAUAUCUUACUUACUCAGUGAGUCGAAGAUGAGGCAUCGCCCCUCUUUUUGGACCUAAGGCUCGCUUACGGGCUGAUCCUGGCGGAGGACAUUGUCAGGUGGGGAGUUUGGCUAGGGUGGCACAUCUAUUAAAAGAUAAUGUAGGUAUCCUAAGAUGAGCUAAACGAGAAUAGAAAUCUUGUGUGGAACAGAAGGGUAAAAGCUUGUUUGAUUCUGACUUUCAGUACGAAUACAAACCGUAGAAGCGUGGCUCAAUGAUCCUUUAGAGCUUCGGAAUUUGAAGCUAGAGUGUCAGAAAAGUUACCACAGGGAUAAUUGGCUUGAGGAAGCUAAGAGUUUAUAGCAACGUUGCUUUUUUAUCCUUCGAUGUCGACUCGUCCUAUUAUUGUGAAGCAGAAUUCACCAAGUGUUGGAUUGUUCACCCACCAAUAGGGAACGUGAGUUGGGUUUAGGCCAUCGUGAGACAGGUUAGUUUUACCAUACUAAUGCUAGUAUCACGAUGGUAAUUCAACCUAGUAUGAGAGGAACCGUUGAUUCGUACAAUUGGUCAUCGCGGUUGGUUGAAAAGCCAGUGGCGCGAAGCUAUCGUGCACUGGAUUAUGUCUGAACGCCUCUGAGUUAGAAUCCGGGCCAGAAGUGACGCAUGCGCCCACUGCCCGAUUGCCGACCUACAGUAGGGGCCUCAGCCCCCAAGGGCACGUGUUGUACGAUAAGCUCGCAUGGUGGAUACGCCGUUAGUGCCGCCUUGAAGUACAAUUCCUACCGAGCAGUGGGUUGAAUCCUUUGCAGGCGACUUAAAUACGCAAUGGGAUAUUGUAAGUAACAGAGUGGCCUUGCUACCACGAUCCACUGAGAUUCA